AUGGCGGUGAUGAUUGGCGCAGGGGUACGGACCUCAGCUGGAUCAUGGGAGCUGAAUGCAAGCUGUUUGUUCCAGUGCAGCUGGCAUGUGGCUGGCUCACUUGGAACCAGGUUUGCAUGAGACUUUGCCAAAAACUGAGCCAU
ensembl:snoRNA SNORD94 small nucleolar RNA SNORD94